rnacentral:rRNA from 1 species
AUUGAACGCUGGCGGCAUGCCUUACACAUGCAAGUCGAACGGCAGCACGGACUUCGGUCUGGUGGCGAGUGGCGAACGGUUGAGUAAUGUAUCGGAACGUACCUUUCAGUGGGGGAUAACGUAGCGAAAGUUACGCUAAUACCGCAUAUUCUGUGAGCAGGAAAGCAGGGGAUCGAAAGACCUUGCGCUGAUUGAGCGGCCGAUAUCAGAUUAGCUAGUUGGUGGGGUAAAGGCCUACCAAGGCGACGAUCUGUAGCGGGUCUGAGAGGAUGAUCCGCCACACUGGAACUGAGAAACGGUCCAGACUCCUACGGGAGGCAGCAGUGGGGAAUUUUGGACAAAGGGGGCAACCCUGAUCCAGCCAUGCCGCGUGAGUGAAGAAGGCCUUCUGGUUGUAAAGCUCUUUAGGCCGGGAAGAAAUAGAAUAGGCUAAUACCCUGUGUGGAUGACGGUACCGGAAGAAGAAGCACCGGCUAACUACGUG